rnacentral:rRNA from 1 species
UACGUAGGGGGCAAGCGUUGUCCGGAUUUAUUGGGCGUAAAGAGCGUGUAGGCGGCCAGACAGGUCCGUUGUGAAAACUCGAGGCUCAACCUCGAGACGCCGAUGGAAACCGUCUGGCUAGAGUCCGGAAGAGGAGAGUGGAAUUCCUGGUGUAGUGGUGAAAUGCGCAGAUAUCAGGAAGAACACCAAUGGCGAAAGCAGCUCUCUGGGACGGUACUGACGCUGAGACGCGAAAGCGUGGGGAGCGAACAGG